rnacentral:rRNA from 1 species
GCGCGAAAACUUUACAAUGCUGGCAACAGCGAUAAGGGAACCUCGAGUGCCAGGUUACAAAUCUGGCUGUCGAGAUGCCUAAAAAGCAUUUCAUAGCAAGGGCCGGGCAAGACCGGUGCCAGCCGCCGCGGUAACACCGGCGGCUCGAGUGGUAACCGUUAUUAUUGGGUCUAAAGGGUCUGUAGCCGGCCGGAUAAGUCUCUUGAGAAAUCUGGCAGCUUAACUGUCAGGCUUUCAGGAGAUACUGUCUGGCUCGAGGCCGGGAGAGGUGAGAGGUACUUCAGGGGUAGGGGUGAAAUCUUGUAAUCCUGGAAGGACCACCAGUGGCGAAGGCGGCUCACCAGAACGGACCUGACGGCAAGGGACGAAAGCUAGGGGCACGAACC